rnacentral:rRNA from 1 species
UACAGCCCGUCUCAACACGGACCAAGGAGUCUAACAUCUAUGCGAGUACUAGAGUGGAAAACUCUUGUGCGAAAUGAAAGUAAAGGUAUUCUUCGGAGUACUGUGAUAGGAAAUCUGGAGGCAACAAAGGAUGGCACUAUCGACCGAUCACCACUUGUGGCUGAUUUGAGUAAGAGCAUAGCUGUUGGGACCCGAAAGAUGGUGAUCUAUGCCUGAACAGGGUGAAGCCAGGGGAAACUCUGGUGGAGGCUCGUAGCGAUUCUGACGUGCAAAUCGAUCGUCGAACUUGGGUAUAGGGGCGAAAGACU